CCCCUAGUAACUGCGAGUGAAGCGGGAAAAGCUCAAAUUUAAAAUCUGGCGGUCUUUGGCCGUCCGAGUUGUAGUCUGGAGAAGUGCUUUCCGCGCUGGACCGUGUAUAAGUCUCUUGGAACAGAGCGUCAUAGAGGGUGAGAAUCCCGUCUUUGACACGGACUACCAGUGCUUUGUGAUGCGCUCUCAAAGAGUCGAGUUGUUUGGGAAUGCAGCUCAAAAUGGGUGGUGAAUUCCAUCUAAAGCUAAAUAUUGGCGAGAGACCGAUAGCGAACAAGUACCGUGAGGGAAAGAUGAAAAGCACUUUGGAAAGAGAGUUAAACAGUACGUGAAAUUGCUGAAAGGGAAACGCUUGAAGUCAGUCGCGUUGUCUGGGACUCAGCCUUGCUUUUGCUUGGUGCACUUUCCGGAUGACGGGCCAGCAUCGAUUUUGACCGUCGGAAAAGGGCUAGGGUAAUGUGGCACCUCCGGGUGUGUUAUAGACUUUAGUCGCAUACGGCGGUCGGGAUCGAGGAACGCAGCGCGCCGUAAGGCAGGGGUUCGCCCACUUUCGCGCUUAGGAUGCUGGCGUAAUGGCUUUAAACGACCCGUCUUGAAACACGGACCAAGGAGUCUAACAUACCUGUGAGUGUUUGGGUGGAAAACCCGAGCGCGUAAUGAAAGUGAAAGUUGAGACCUCUGUCGUGGAGGGCAUCGACGCCCGGACCUGACGUUCUCUGACGGAUCCGCGGUAGAGCAUGUAUGUUGGGACCCGAAAGAUGGUGAACUAUGCCUGAAUAGGGUGAAGCCAGAGGAAACUCUGGUGGAGGCUCGUAGCGAUUCUGACGUGCAAAUCGAUCGUCAAAUUUGGGUAUAGGGGCGAAAGACUAAUCGAA
rnacentral:rRNA from 1 species